rnacentral:lncRNA from 1 species
AGGUGGGGGGGUCAGCCCCCUGCCCGGCCAGCCGCCCUGUCUGGGAGGGAGGUGGGGGGGUCAGCCCCCCGCCCGGCCAGCCGCCCCGUCCGGGAGGGAGGUGGGGAGGUCAGCCCCCCGCCCGGCCAGCCGCCCGGUCCGGGAGGUGAGAGGCGCCUCUGCCCGGCCGCCCCUACUGGGAAGUGAGGAGCCCCUCUGCCCGGCCACCACCCCGUCCGGGAGGUGUACCCAACAGCUCAUUGAGAACGGGCCAUGAAGAGAAUGGCGGUUUUGUGGAAUAGAAAGGGGGGAAAGGUGGGGAAAAGAUUGAGAAAUGGGAUGGUUGCCGUGUCUGUGUAGAAAGAGGUAGACAUGGGAGACUUUUCAUUUUGUUCUGUACUAAGAAAAAUUCUUAUCCUGCUGAUCUGUGACCUUACCCCCAACCCUGUGCUCUCUGAAACAUGUGCUGUGUCCACUCAGGG